rnacentral:rRNA from 1 species
ACCGCCCGUCACAUCACGAAAGCCCGUUGUACUAGAAGCCGGCAAUUCAACCGCAAGGAGAUAGCCGUCCGAGGUAUGACUGGUGAUUGGGGUG